ACGAACGCUUGCGGCGUGCCUAAGAAAUGCAAGUCGAGCGGAGACAAAGGCUUCGGUCUUUGUCUCAGCGGCGAACGGUCGCGUAACACGUAAGCAACCUGCCCCAGAGACCGGGAUAACCGCGCGAAAGCGCAGCUAAUACCGGAUGUGUCCGAGAGGAGACCUCUUCUCUCGAGUAAACCACUUGGAUUGGCUCUGGGAGGGGCUUGCGGCCUAUCAGCUAGAUGGUGAGGUAACGGCUCACCAUGGCGACGACGGGUAGCUGGUCUGAGAGGAUGGUCAGCCGGACUGGGACUGAGAGACGGCCCAGACUCCUACGGGGGGCAGCAAUUAGGAAUCUUGUGCAAUGGGGGCAACCCUGACACAGCGACGCCGCGUGGGGGAGGAAGGCCUUCGGGUUGUAAACCCCUUUUGUCGAGGAAGAAGCAAGUGACGGUACUCGACGAAUAAGCCCCGGCUAACUCCGUGCCAGCAGCCGCGGUAAUACGGAGGGGGCGAGCGUUGUCCGAAGUUACUGGGCGUAAAGGGCGCGUAGGCGGGAGGCCAAGUCCGCUGUGAAAGCCUGAGGCUCAACCUCAGCGGGUCGGUGGAGACUGGUCUUCUUGAAGGUGUCAGGGGGAGAUGGAAUUAUCGGUGUAGCGGUGAAAUGCGUAGAUAUCGAUAGGAACACCAGUGGCGAAGGCGGUCUCCUGGGGCAUUCUUGACGCUGAGGCGCGAAAGCUGGGGGAGCGAACGGGAUUAGAUACCCCGGUAGUCCCAGCCCUAAACGAUGGAUACUAGGUGUGGGGGGUAUCGACCCCUCCCGUGCCGUCGCUAACGCAGUAAGUAUCCCGCCUGGGGAGUACGGCCGCAAGGUUGAAACUCAAAGGAAUUGACGGGGCCCCGCACAAGCGGUGGAGCAUGUUGUUUAAUACGUCACUAACCGUAGAACCUUACCAGGAUUUGACAUGGGGCGAAACUCCAUGAAAGUGGAAUUCCCCGCAAGGGGACGCCCGCACAGGUGUUGCUUGGCUGUCGUCAGCUCGUGUCGUGAGAUGUUGGGUUAAGUCCCGCAACGAGCGCAACCCUCAUCCCCUGUUGCCAGCGAGUAGUGUCGGGAACUCUGGGGAAACUGCCGGGGUAACUCGGAGGAAGGCGAGGACGACGUCAAGUCAGCAUGGCCCUUACAUCCUGGGCUACAAACAUGCUACAAUGGACGGUAGACAGAGGGAUGCAAGGGGGCGACCCGGAGCCAAUCUCAGAAAUCCGUUCUCAGUUCGGAUCGCAGGCUGCAACUCGCCUGCGUGAAGUUGGAAUCGCUAGUAACCGCCGGUCAGCUAAACGGCGGUGAAUACGUUCCCGGGGCUUGUACACACCGCCCGUCACGUCGCCUGAGUUGUCUGCACCCGAAGCCGGUGGGGUAACCGCAAGGAGCCAGCCGUCGAAGGUGUGGGGAGCGAGGGGGACG
rnacentral:rRNA from 1 species